rnacentral:rRNA from 1 species
AUGGCUGGCCGGCUGGCCGGCCGGCCGGCCGACUACUUCUGUAUAGGUUUAUAUUCUGUGGUGCAGCAAAGCACUAGCCAGACCCAAGCCAUCAUGAAGCACUUCCUACUCUCUUGCACCUAUCUCCUACUCUGUGCCAUCGUCACACCGGUGAGCGCCGGCAUUCGGCGUGAAGCUGAAGCUCUUCUGAGUUGGAAGGCCAGUUUGGCCGGUGCCAAUGAGUCCCUAAGCUCAUGGUCAUUGGCCAACUCCACCGGCAUCUGCCACUGGAUGUACAUCAGUUGCAACUCUGCCAGGAGCACCAUCGUCAACCUCAACAUCAGCGGUGCGAGUCUGAAUGGCACACUUGACAAGUUCAACUUCUCAGCUUUCCCCAACCUGAAGAAGCUCAUCCUAUUUCAGAACGGUCUGUAUGGCAACAUUCCAGAAGGGAUCAGUAACCUGACAAGCCUGGUGCAGUUGCAGAUCAGCAGCAACUGGUAUGUAACUGGUACAAUUCCCCGUGGCAUUGGCCGGCUGAAGCAGCUCACUGAACUGCAACUGGGAGGUUUGGGUCUUGAUGGUGCGGCGCUACCUGAAGAGAUUGGUAACUUGACAAGCUUGACGAAGAUUGCUCUCUACUCAAUCAAUUUGACUGGAUCAAUCCCGCUAACAUUCGGGAGACUGAAGAAGCUCCGGCUGCUGAACCUGAGAAACAACAGUCUGACAGGGCACAUCCCGCUGGAGAUUGGUAACAUGACAGAAUUACACCGCAUGGACCUGACGCAGAACUAUUUACAUGGCCAGAUACCAGAUACAGUCUCUCGUUUGGUAAAGCUAAACCGCUUGUUACUGUCAGAAAAUCAGCUCGGAGGCGACGUCAUCCACGAGCUCGGAAAUAGCAGCAUGCUGUCUUAUAUCAACAUGGCAAAAAAUAGCUUCUCUGGGGUCUUCCCGCCGUCCAUUUGCGCGGGAGGGGCACUGGUUACGGUCCUUGCUGCAUACAAUGGAUUUACAAGCCUUCGCAGCAUGACCUUUCAGAACUGCACGACCCUGGAGCACAUUGACUUCACAGAAAACAAAAUUGUUGCAGACCUAAUGGCUUGUUUUGGAAAGCCUCCAGAACAACUUCGGGGGCUAACUGUCAGUAAUAACCAUCUGUAUGGCACACUUCUGACAGAUGAUGGUGAGGUAUUCCUCUGCAACUCUACUAGGUUAUCACUUCUGGACCUCUCAAACAAUGCCUUAAAUGGAGACCUAUCCAACUCCAAGUGUUUAUGGAACAUGCGGCAUUUGGAGUUCAUGGAUUUGUCCAGCAACUCGCUCAGUGGUGUAGUUCCGUUCUUGGCGACGCCUAACCGGAAUCUUCAGUCUCUACACCUAGCGAAUAACCAUUUCAGUGGAGCCUUUCCUUUGGUUCUUAAGAAAAGCAAGAAACUUAUCACUCUAGAUCUGGGAGGCAAUAAUUUCUCAGGUGGGAUACCUUCUUGGAUAAGCAAGAGCUUGCCUGACCUAAGAUUUCUUUUACUGUCAUCAAACAUGUUUGAUGGCAUCAUACCAUCACAGAUAUUACAAUUUCGUCAACUCCAGCUAUUGGACCUGUCAAAAAACAAGUUCACUGGACGGAUUCCAUCCAAUUUUGGUAACUUUACUGGCAUGAUCCAAGAACAGAAAAAUGGGAACAGCACAUACUGCUACCUGCCAGCAGAGCAGCUUCGUAUAGUCCUGAAGAAUGAGGGUUAUCUUUACAACUUCACGAUAUCGUUCAUAGUGGGUAUGGACUUAUCUAGCAACUUCCUUUCACAAGAGAUCCCAAAAGGGCUCACAUCACUUGUUGGACUCAGGUACCUAAACUUGUCAAGAAACCAUCUCUCAGGUGGUAUUCCCGGAGACGUUGGCAAUCUGGCAUUGCUAGAAUCCUUGGACCUUUCGGAAAACCAACUCUCAGGGGAAAUUCCUCCAAGCCUUGCAGAUUUGAAGGCCCUCGGCACUCUGAACCUCUCGACCAACGGUUUAUCGGGGAGGAUACCUACAGGCAGCCAGCUGCAGACAUUCCCAGAUCCUUCAAUAUACAGCAAUAAUCCAGGGCUGUGCGGUUUCCCGCUGCAGGACUGUGUAAACCCAUCUGCAUCAAACCAGAAUGACAUGAAGCAGGAUGAAGAUAUGGAGACACUCUGGUUGUACUGCUUUGUGGUAGCAGGAGUCAUCUUUGGGUUUUGGCUAUACUGGGGCAUGCUCUUUUGCAAAGAGACAUGGAGGCAUGUGUUCUAUCAAUAUGUUGACAACAUGCAAGACAAGGUAAUUACCAAGAAAAUAGCUGCAUAUCGCGCCUCCAAGCUAAGGCAUGAAUAG